rnacentral:rRNA from 1 species
UACGGAGGGUGCAAGCGUUAAUCGGAAUUACUGGGCGUAAAGGGUGCGUAGGCGGUUGUUUAAGUCUGUUGUGAAAUCCCCGGGCUCAACCUGGGAAUGGCAAUGGAUACUGGGCAGCUAGAGUGUGUCAGAGGAUGGUGGAAUUCCCGGUGUAGCGGUGAAAUGCGUAGAGAUCGGGAGGAACAUCAGUGGCGAAGGCGGCCAUCUGGGACAACACUGACGCUGAAGCGCGAAAGCUAGGGGAGCAAACAGG